UACUUUACGUGCCUUCCCACACUGUACACGGAUAGAGACGAGCAAACUACUGACCUCACCGUCCAAAGUAGCAAAGACAUUCCAAAGCGUUCGCCAUACUCUCUUUUUGCUUCUCCGUUGAUUCUGGACAUCCCGUUGGGAACGUGCCUCCAUUCGCUGUUAUCACGAAGAAACAACCAUUGCUCAAACUACCAGUAGCUGGUCGAUACGAUGUGAUGCUCCAGUUCCGUUUCAAUUUCAACGCCGAAUGCACUGGAAGUAGAGAAAGAGAAGGAAUGAGAUAGCAAAAUGAAAGGAAGAGGAGGAGGAGAAGGAGGUAAAGAAGAAAAAGAAGAAAAAACAGAAAGAGGAUAAGGUUAGAGUGUGAGCCAGAGAGAAAGAGAGAGAAAACUUCCCAUAGGAAUGAAUACGGCAGUGUCGGCAACUCGUUGCAAAAUCGUCGGAAACAAUGCGGGAUUUGCGACGAUUAUUAAAGAGAGAGAGAAAGAGAAAGAGAGAGAAAGAAAGGGAGGGGUACCUCCGACUACAUGCAAGCUACCACCACUAUCAUCACUUUUAGAAUUCUAUGGAUAAGAAAAGGCGAAGGGCAGGAGACAAUGCGGAAUCGCGCGGAGAAAACUUUCGAUGGGGAAGGAGUCUUCUUCCUUCUCGUUGCUUCCACGCAAUUACCUUUCCAACGUGGUCAACGAUUUUUCUACGAAUCGUUCGGUCCCUCCUUUUCUAACUUUGUCCUCUUCUCUAGAACCUUUCUUUCGCCUUCUAUUCGUGUCUCGUCGAUUCUUCUCUCGAUUCAUUCCCUUAAUGCUUUCGGUGACUUCGGGAAGUGGAUCGUUCGCUUCCUCCGUAAGAUACGAUAUUGUUCUUUUUCUUUUAGAAAAUUUUACAUUCUUUUUCCUUGACGAGAAAUUUUAUAUGAAGUAGGAGUA